AUUGAACGCUGGCGGCAGGCUUAACACAUGCAAGUCGAGCGGGGUGAUGGUGCUUGCACUAUCACUUAGCGGCGGACGGGUGAGUAAUGCUUAGGAAUCUGCCUAUUAGUGGGGGACAACAUCUCGAAAGGGAUGCUAAUACCGCAUACGUCCUACGGGAGAAAGCAGGGGAUCACUUGUGACCUUGCGCUAAUAGAUGAGCCUAAGUCGGAUUAGCUAGUUGGUGGGGUAAAGGCCUACCAAGGCGACGAUCUGUGCGGGUCUGAGAGGAUGAUCCGCAACACUGGGACUGAGACACGGCCCAGACUCCUACGGGAGGAAGAAGUGGGGAAUAGUGGACAAUGGGGGGAACCCUGAUCCAGCCAUGCCGCGUGUGUGAAGAAGGCCUUAUGGUUGUAAAGCACUUUAAGCGAGGAGGAGGCUCUUUUGGUUAAUACCCAAGAUGAGUGGACGUUACUCGCAGAAUAAGCACCGGCUAACUCUGUGCCAGCCGCCGCAGUAA
rnacentral:rRNA from 1 species